UACGUAGGGUGCAAGCGUUGUCCGGAAUUACUGGGCGUAAAGCGCGUGUAGGCGGCCCUGCAAGUCGGAUGUGAAAUCCCACGGCUCAACCGUGGAAGUGCAUUCGAAACUGCAGGGCUAGAGUCCUGGAGAGGAAGGUGGAAUGCUUGGUGUAGAGGUGAAAUUCGUAGAUAUCAAGCGGAACACCGGUGGCGAAGGCGGCCUUCUGGACAGUGACUGACGCUGAGACGCGAAAGCGUGGGGAGCAAACAGG
rnacentral:rRNA from 1 species